rnacentral:rRNA from 1 species
AUUGAACGCUGGCGGCAUGCCUUACACAUGCAAGUCGAACGGCAGCACGGGAGCAAUCCUGGUGGCGAGUGGCGAACGGGUGAGUAAAGUAUCGGAAUGUGCCCAGUCGUGGGGGAUGACGUAACGAAAGUUACGCUAAUACCGCAUACGAUCUAUGGAUGAAAGCGGGGGAUCGCAAGACCUCGCGCGAUUGGAGCGGCCGAUAUCAGAUUAGGUAGUUGGUGGGGUAAAGGCUCACCAAGCCGACGAUCUGUAGCUGGUCUGAGAGGACGACCAGCCACACUGGGACUGAGACACGGCCCAGGCUCCUACGGGAGGCAGCAGUGGGGAAUUUUGGACAAUGGGCGAAAGCCUGAUCCAGCCAUGCCGCGUGCAGGAUGAAGGCCUUCGGGUUGUAAACUGCUUUUGUACGGAACGAAAAGGUUUGGCCUAAUAAGCUGAGCUCAUGACGGUACCGUAAGAAUAAGCACCGGCUAACUACGUGCCAGCCGCCGCCGUAA